rnacentral:tRNA from 1 species
GCCUGGGUGGCUUAGUCGGUUGAGCGUCCAACUUCGCUCAGGUCAUGAUCUCAUGGUUUGUGGGUUCGAGCCCCACAUCAGGCU